AACAGGUGAGGAUGAUCUCUUGUCCUUCUGUGGAAUAUGUGCCUGGAUGAGGCAUUCUUUUGCCUUUCUUCCCUCACACCCCCCUGGCUGAAGUUGUGAUAAAUGGAGUCCUUCCCUUAGAUGGAACUGAAAAAAAGAAUGUAUUUUCCAUGGUGUCAAGAAAAGGAAUUUGCAUUGUUUGUACAUUCUGGGCAGGAAGAGGGUGGAAGGCCCGAGGGAUAUGCCAGUUGAGACUUCUAUCAAAAAUGAAACAUUCCCAGAAGGCUUCCCCAGAGACUUCAGCUUAUAUCUUACUAGCCAGAGCCUGUAACAUGUCCACAUCUAGAUGCAAAAGAAUCUGGGAAGGAACAAUAUUCUUUUCACCUACUUCUGCCAGACCUUGCCUUUCCCAAGAGUCUCUUUUGUCUGGAUUUUUCUCUCUCAGGACACCCUUUAUCAGCUCCAGCUGUCCAA